GAUGAACGCUGGCGGCGUGCCUAAUACAUGCAAGUAGAACGCUGAAGGAAGGAGCUUGCUCUUUCCGGAUGAGUUGCGAACGGGUGAGUAACGCGUAGGUAACCUGCCUGGUAGCGGGGGAUAACUAUUGGAAACGAUAGCUAAUACCGCAUAACAGUAGAUGUUGCAUGAUAUCUACUUAAAAGGUGCAAUUGCACCACUACCAGAUGGACCUGCGUUGUAUUAGCUAGUUGGUGAGAUAACGGCUCACCAAGGCGACGAUACAUAGCCGACCUGAGAGGGUGAUCGGCCACACUGGGACUGAGACACGGCCCAGACUCCUACGGGAGGCAGCAGUAGGGAAUCUUCGGCAAUGGACGGAAGUCUGACCGAGCAACGCCGCGUGAGUGAAGAAGGUUUUCGGAUCGUAAAGCUCUGUUGUGAGAGAAGAACGAGUGUGAGAGUGGAAAGUUCACACUGUGACGGUAUCUUACCAGAAAGGGACGGCUAACUACGUG
rnacentral:rRNA from 1 species